rnacentral:rRNA from 1 species
UACGAAGGGGGCUAGCGUUGCUCGGAAUCACUGGGCGUAAAGGGUGCGUAGGCGGGUCUUUAAGUCAGGGGUGAAAUCCUGGAGCUCAACUCCAGAACUGCCUUUGAUACUGAAGAUCUUGAGUUCGGGAGAGGUGAGUGGAACUGCGAGUGUAGAGGUGAAAUGCGCAGAUAUCGGGAAGAACACCCGUGGCGAAGGCGGCACUCUGGGACGGUACUGACGCUGAGACGCGAAAGCGUGGGGAGCGAACAGG